GACAGAGGGUGCAAACGUUGUUCGGAAUUACUGGGCGUAAAGCGCGUGUAGGCGGCCCUGCAAGUCGGGUGUGAAAUCCCAUGGCUCAACUAUGGAAGUGCACUCGAAACUGCAGGGCUAGAGUCCUGGAGAGGAAGGUGGAAUGCUUGGUGUAGAGGUGAAAUUCGUAGAUAUCAAGCGGAACACCGGUGGCGAAGGCGACCUUCUGGACAGUGACUGACGCUGAGACGCGAAAGCGUGGGGAGCAAACAGG
rnacentral:rRNA from 1 species